CCGAGCUGCAGCCAAGGUCUGAGUAGUCAACAAACCCAAAACGCAACAUGAGGUUGAAGACAAAGGAACCUUUUAUCUAUCUAUGCUACAGAUGAGUAGCUGCGUCUAAGAGGGUGAAUUCAAGCAGGACCACCCGGUCACCACUCUCCAUCGAAUCGUGUGUCUACACUGCUUUCAUUCCUACACUGUGAGCCCUGAGCUACAGGGCUGGUUGUCCUCAGAAGACCCCUUUCAGAACAAGGGUGAAGAAACAGACCACUAAGACAAAGGACACUGACAUCGUGAGGACAACCAGAGAGUUACACCAGAGAAGUGUGUCAUCCGAGAAGCCGAAAUGGUCCACGCAGAGACCGCCAUCGGAGACAUUCAACACAAAAGGACCCAAAUUCAUUGUCUCUCCCUCGCCCCACGCAGGCAACCUUGGCGUCAUCCUGGAUUCCGCCCUCUCCUUCGACCACCACAUUUGACAGACUUUCAACUAAUUCUUCCACCUCCGCAACAUCUCCAGAAUCAGGUCCUCUUUCUCCUGUCGUGUCGUUGAAACCCUCAUACAUGCAUUAAUCUCCUCCCGACUCGACUACUGCAACUCACUACUCUCUGGCAUCAACUCAAGCUCCCUCCACAAACUCAAAAUCGUUCAAAAUUCUGCAGCCCAACUUCUCACCCACACCAAGUCCUGGCAGCACAUCACUCCUGUCCUAUAACUUUUUUUCAGAGAAUGUAGCAGUUAAACCAUGCCCUUUAGCCGAUUAGUAGGAAUUGUUAAUGGGUAUGGGUCUAUGGGUUUAACUGUGAUUGACUGUUUGACUAUUGGAAGAAACAGUGGUCACCACCCAUCUACCUGGAAAUCAAGUCUCCGGGAGAUUUUCACUCCAACCAAUAAGAUAUCACAACAGAUUCCGCUAAACAAAUUCUUGAUGAGAAGCUAAGUGUAAUUGUGUGUGCGCAAUAAGUGUGCAAUUCUGAAACUAUUCCACCUUUCCUGUCAGGGGAGGGGGGUAUAGUUGAGUAGUUUUGUAUAGUAAUGCCAGUGUUCAAGAGAGCUGGUGAUGACAGCGUGAAUAAAAC
rnacentral:lncRNA from 1 species